rnacentral:rRNA from 1 species
GAUUAAGUUAUUAAGGGCGCACGGUGGAUGCCUUGGCACUAGAAGCCGAUGAAGGACGUUACUAACGACGAUAUGCUUUGGGGAGCUGUAAGUAAGCUUUGAUCCAGAGAUUUCCGAAUGGGGAAACCCAACAUGAGUUAUGUCAUGUUAUCGAUAUGUGAAUACAUAGCAUAUCAGAAGGCACACCCGGAGAACUGAAACAUCUUAGUACCCGGAGGAAGAGAAAGAAAAUUCGAUUCCCUUAGUAGCGGCGAGCGAAACGGGAAGAGCCCAAACCAACAAGCUUGCUUGUUGGGGUUGUAGGACACUCUAUACGGAGUUACAAAGGACGACAUUAGACGAAUCAUCUGGAAAGAUGAAUCAAAGAAGGUAAUAAUCCUGUAGUCGAAAAUGUUGUCUCUCUUGAGUGGAUCCUGAGUACGACGGAGCACGUGAAAUUCCGUCGGAAUCUGGGAGGACCAUCUCCUAAGGCUAAAUACUCUCUAGUGACCGAUAGUGAACCAGUACCGUGAGGGAAAGGUGAAAAGCACCCCGGAAGGGGAGUGAAAUAGAACCUGAAACCGUGUGCUUACAAGUAGUCAGAGCCCGUUAAUGGGUGAUGGCGUGCCUUUUGUAGAAUGAACCGGCGAGUUACGAUUUGAUGCAAGGUUAAGCAGUAAAUGUGGAGCCGUAGCGAAAGCGAGUCUGAAUAGGGCGUUUAGUAUUUGGUCGUAGACCCGAAACCAGGUGAUCUACCCUUGGUCAGGUUGAAGUUCAGGUAACACUGAAUGGAGGACCGAACCGACUUACGUUGAAAAGUGAGCGGAUGAACUGAGGGUAGCGGAGAAAUUCCAAUCGAACCUGGAGAUAGCUGGUUCUCUCCGAAAUAGCUUUAGGGCUAG